rnacentral:rRNA from 1 species
GGAUUGACACAUCGGUCGUGCCUUAAGGGGUAUGAACUGGUGUAGUCAAUUUCUCACCUUCUGGAGAACCGCGAUGCCCUUAAUUGGGUGUCACGGGGAACCAGGACCUUUACUUUGAAAAUUAGAGUGUUCAAAGCAGGCCUAUGCCCGAAUACAUUAGCAUGGAAUAAUAGAAUAGGACGUGCGGUUCUAUUUUGUUGGUUUCUAGGAUCGCCGUAAUGAUUAAUAGGGAUAGUUGGG